rnacentral:rRNA from 1 species
GGUGAACGCUGGCGGCGUGGAUGAGGCAUGCAAGUCGAAUAGGCUUAGACCCAUGGCAGACGAGGUAGGAACACGUAGGUACAUACCCUAAAGUCACGGAUAAUCUGUCGAAAGGCAGGAUAAUACGUGAUGGUCCCUUCGGGGUAAAGAUUUAUCGCUUUAGGAAUGGCCUGCGUUCUAUCAGCUUGUUGGUAAGGUAA